UUUGGUUGUUGACUUGUGCUUGGCUGUAGUGUGCAGUAGGCACGGUAUUGCUAAAUGGAAGUGAGAGGUCUGGAACCGUUAAGGUGUCACUGAAUGUCUGAGUGACUACUUUGAUAUUGUGUUUUUCAGAUGCAGAGAGACAACUGGUGUACCAAAAGCUGCUGAUGGAGUUGCAGGUGGAGUGCCAUAGGGAGGUGGAGACCAAGCCUCACCAUGGCAGCCCGAGAUGAUGGAUGCCGCGCAGGAGAGCGGUCAAGGAAACAUACCAGGAGAUGGGUAUUGCUGGGGGCAGCCUUUGCUUUGUGUUAGUAUCUUAAGUACCUCUCUUCUUUUGCAGGUGCCACAUACAGCCUCAGAGGGGUUGAGCUUCAUGCUGAAAAAUGGUUUGAGAGGUGAGGGGGUGGCUGUCCAAAUUGGUGUCUAAGAUCAAUGUAGCACACAGUAACUCCAUUGAGCAUUUAUCUUUGAUUUUGCAGGUGCUGUGCAGGCUGCCUUUUCAAUGGGAAGAGCAGUUGAGGCGAGCCGGGUAGUGGGGAGAAGGAGCAUGGGACUGAUCUCUCAGAAGCACAACAGUAAUUUUUGUCUGCCUAUCUUAGGUGCCCCACGUGAUGAUGGCUGCAGCGUUGGAUGUUUGAAUCGGGACAGAACAGAUGAUAAUCAAGAGGAACCUAGCCGUGUGUGGUUGUCCCACUUAGCUGAUGCGGUUUGAGAUUUUUCUGCCAGGGAUGGCUUCAGGUCUUUGGCCCUCUGAAAGUUAAGUUGAGGGGGCUGCAGUUUGGGGUUGGGAAGAAGGCAGAAUGUUGAGAGCGGCAGGGAGGGGAUUUAGCAUAUGGUAGAGGGCUGUGCUGGAAGAGUAACCUUUGUGCAGGUAUAGGGAGGGGUUCAAUUCUCAGCUCAGAGCUAGCAUGCACCAGAGAGGGUAGUUCUAGCCUGUAUCUGUGUUGUUGUUUAGUCUAUGUAGCCUGUCUGCCAUGUAUGAAGUUUUCCACAGGCCUUGAUGCCAUCUUGGUGCUUAAGGCACGUGGUAUGUGCCUCGGGCAUCAUCUCUAGGGUCUUGAAUGUCUGUUCGUCGUAAGGUGCCAAGUGGGCAUGGCUCUUCUUGCAUUGCCAUCUUAAAGCUUGGAUUGGUCUUUUGUUUUGGAAAUUUCUGGUCGGUUGUCUAUUGCAUAGACAUUGCAGGACAUGUCAGCAUCCUCAAUGAUUAUUGGUCCGUUUUCUUAA